rnacentral:rRNA from 1 species
GACGAACGCUGGCGGCGUGCUUAACACAUGCAAGUCGAGCGGUAAGGCCCUUUCGGGGGUACACGAGCGGCGAACGGGUGAGUAACACGUGGGUGACCUGCCCUCAGCUCUGGGAUAAGCCCGGGAAACUGGGUCUAAUACCGGAUAUGACUCCAUGACGCAUGUUGUGGGGUGGAAAGCCUUGUGCGGCUGAGGAUGGGCCCGCGGCCUAUCAGCUUGUUGGUGGGGUGAUGGCCUACCAAGGCGACGACGGGUAGCUGGCCUGAGAGGGCGACCGGCCACACUGGGACUGAGACACGGCCCAGACUCCUACGGGAGGCAGCAGUGGGGAAUCUUGCGCAAUGGGCGAAAGCCUGACGCAGCGACGCCGCGUGAGGGAUGACGGCCUGGU